rnacentral:rRNA from 1 species
CCUACGGGUGGCAGCAGUGGGGGAUAUUGCACAAUGGGGGGAACCCUGAUGCAGCGACGCCGCGUGUGGGAAGACGGUCCUCUGGAUUGAAAACCACUGUCCCCAGGGACGAAAAUGACGGUACCUGGGGAGGAAGCUCCGGCUAACUACGUGCCAGCAGCCGCGGUAAUACGUAGGGAGCGAGCGUUGUCCGGAAUGACUGGGUGUAAAGGGAGCGUAGGCGGGGAUGCAAGUUGGGGGUCAAAACUACCGGCUCAACUGGUAGUCGCACUCAAAACUGGAGCUCUUGAGUGAAGUAGAGGCAGGCGGAAUUCCUAGUGUAGCGGUGAAAUGCGUAGAUAUUAAGAGGAACACCGGUGGCGAAGGCGGCCUGCUGGGCUUUUACUGACGCUGAGGCUCGAAAGUGUGGGGAGCAAACAGGAUUAGAUACCCUUGUAGUC